rnacentral:siRNA from 1 species
UAGAGCUAAGAAUAACCAGA